CCAAAACCGAAUACAGGCAGAGAAGGCUUCAACAUAUGUUGAAAACCAUGCCCAAUGUUUAUGCCAUAAAUUAAAAGCCGAGAUCCCAAAAUGUUGGUUUCCCUUUCUCGAGUCAUUCUUGACCUCCUGACUCUCUCCCUUUUUGUCGCUAGUUCUCAAUAUUCCCAACAAUUGAUAUCAUUUAUUACGUAGCGGAGUUAUGUCGACUGGAUAUUUGGGUUAUUGUGUAACGAAUACAACCAUCCAACUGGCAACACUGCCACCAAGCAUAAAAGCAACGCGCGUACGCCAAUAAAGCGCCGCGACGCAAGCAAGACACCUACCAGCAGCAUUGACGACGCACAAAGAAAAAAUCUCUCACUCCUCGUACAAUCAUUGUACCGUUCAGUUCAUCGUGUACCCGAUCCACCAUCAUCCCGCAAAAGCGGUGCGGUUUUCGCCACCUCUCGAAUUUCCAGCCUAAAAGGACCGCAAGCGGUAAAGGUAACCAUUUCUCGAUCACAAUCCAGGUGAAUUCAGGCUAAAGACGUUCUUUCAACAGCUACUUGCACACGUCGGGUGGGUACACGCGACUGCAAGAGGAGAAAGCACCAAAUUAAGCACACACAUCGACGCCAUCAUCCAUUCCCACACGAGCCACACCGAGACCACCCAACAUGCUCCUUGAAGAAAGCCGUCCCUGAUAGAACCAAUUCAGCGAGAUUACAGGUAUCCGAUUCUGGCCGUACUGGCGCCAGUCAAAAGGAAAUAACGUCAUCAAUAAUCGUUGCACCACCUAGAGCAAAGGCCGCAUCCACGAGAAGGCUCUCAUCACGAGGGCCUUCUUAUCGUAUGCGCCUCUGCAUCGACGUCCCACCGGCGAUCAUCCAUCGACAGCACGCUUGUGCGUGUGUGUGACAGCAACACAUCUCGUCGGGACCGAGCGCCAAAAGAGUAGGACUGUGUUGGGAAGUUCAGUGUGUGAUUGUGCUGUGAGUCAACCAGGUACGUCUGACUGAGGCGACAUACUACACUCGGCGUGACUGUGUACGUGCAUGUUGGUGCUUGUGAAAGUUUACGUUGCCACCCAAUGAGACACGAUCAGUGCAUGGAGGAAGAUCGCAAUGAACGUGGCAUAUUAGCAAGAGAAAGACAACAGCAUAGCGGGUAGUGGUGGCGCAUUUGUGUGCGCGUCAUCGCGUCGUCGGCAGUGCAGUGCGUCGUGCAAUAUUGGCGCCCAAUCUGAAAAACCCACAUCUAUAUUUCAGAUCUGUCAAUAAGGCCAAUUCGCGCGCGCAGUUUCGCAUUAAUAAAGAGUGAGUCAAUUAAGCCAAAGUGGAGUGUAGUGAUAUAAUCAUGGAGUGUAGACACCUAUCGGACGCAGAAUUGGAUUAUGAGUUGGAGCUACGACAAGUGGACAAACCGAAGGAGCUUCACAGGAAGAAGAAAAUUGAUCGCAUUCGGCAACUGUUUCAGCUGGAGAAAACAAGCAUGGAAGCGCCCUCGUCAGCUCGUCACUUCAUCUCGGAUCAAGACAACAUAAACUUCUGUCAACGCAAGAUAAAUCGCUUGCUGGAAAAACUCAACAAGGCAUUUGCAGAAGAGGACUUGAACGAGGUCACGGCAUGUCGAUCAAAAUACCUGCACUAUCGGAUGAGAGUUUCUCUAAUCGUCGAUCCGCUGUACAUUCCAUAUGUGCGAACGGCGGAGAAAAAUAUUGCAGACGCGCUUGCUCGCAUUGAACAAUUUCUCCAGAACCAGACGAAAGUACCACCACCACCUCCACCAGAGCUUGAAGACAUCUUCUUCUUCUUCUUGGCGUAACGUCCUCACUGGGACAAAGCCUGCUUCUCAGCUUAGUGUUCUAUGAGCACUUCCACAGUUAUUAACUGAGAGCUUCCUCUGCCAAUGACCAUUUUUGCAUGUGUAUAUCGUGUGGCAGGCACGAAGAUACUCUAUGCCCAAGGAAGUCAAGGAAAUUUCCUUUACGAAAAGAUCCUGGACCGACCGGGAAUCGAACCCGUCACCCCCAGCAUGGUCAUGCUGAAUACCCGUGCGUUUACCGCCUCGGCUAUAUGGGCCCUUCAAGACCCUUGAAGACAUCCUGCCUGCGGAAGAAGACAUCCUAAAACAACUUCGUGACGUCAACCUGCAAUCCAGCCUAAGAGUUCGGGAUAGAUCGAUUCUCGCUUCGCCCACUCCUACAGAGGACAACGACCGAGUAGUGAGGCAAGUUGGGACAGGAACGCUACACAAGCAACAGCGGCACACACAGCAGGAGCAGCAGCAACACCAGGAACUGCAAGGAUUAGAAGAACCCCAACGGCAGC